AUUGAACGCUGGCGGCGUGCCUAACACAUGCAAGUCGAGCGGUAACAGGUGUAGCAAUACAUGCUGACGAGCGGCGGACGGGUGAGUAACGCUUGGGAAUCUGCCUAUUAGUGGGGGACGAACCCGGGGAAACGUCGGGCUAAUACCGCAUACGCACUACGGUGGAAAGCCGGGGACCGCAAGGCCUGGCGCUAACAGAUGAGCCCAAGUCGGAUUAGCUAGUUGGUAGGGUAACGGCCACCAAGGCGACGAUCCGUAACUGGUCUGAGAGGACGACAGUCACACCGGAACUGAGACACGGUCCGGACUCCUACGGGAGGCAGCAGUGGGGAAUAUUGGACAAUGGGCGAAAGACCUGAUCCAGCGACGCCGCGUGGGUGAAGAAGGCCUG
rnacentral:rRNA from 1 species